GAUUCGAGAUGAUGUAUCAACUGAGGAGGAAGGAAGGCGAGGAAGGAAAAGGGAGUACGUGGAACAAGUACAAGGAGAGUUUGGAGAGAAGUGGGUACUUUGAAGGGUUGUUGCCGGGCUCAAAGGAGUACAAGAGGUUGAUGGAGAAGGCUGAGGAGUAUUACCGGAACAGUUCUUUAUUUACGAGGACCAGUGAAUUGAUGAGUGCUCCAGUGAGACGAAUUGAUGAAAUUCUUGCUAUGCCACAUUCAGCUGAUGAUUUCCAGAGUCAAGAGGUUCCUCCUUCUGAUGAUGAUUCUUGGCUUUAUGAUGGAGAGAACGAUCUGAAUGCUGCCCUUCAAGAGAGGCAAAAAGAGAUGGAUCUCUAUAAUGCUAAACAUAAAAAGAAACAGAAGUUGAAAGAGCCACAGGAUGCUGGUCCUUCAUCUGAUGCAGACUUUGGUGAUUUUGAUCUUGGUGAUAUUGCAAAAACCAUGCAAGCAUUUGUGGACAAGAUGUCAAGCUACAAGGGAGCAGAGGUUCCUGAAAACAGGAAUCUGAAAGAAGUGGACCUUGAUGCGGAUCGAUUCUUUAAAGACAUGGAAUCAGUGAUGAAUCGUCAUGGCCGUCAGGAUAAUGCUAGUGAUGUUGACACUGAAGAAGCAUCCUCAUCUGACAUGGAUUUUGAUGAAUCUGAAGAUGGGAGUGAUAUUAUGGAACCCUCUGCGGAUAAUGAGGAUGGAGAGGACACUUUCAUGCGUAGCUAUUCUGAUGCUCUGAAUGAGGAAUUGAAGAACACCACCCUUGAAAAGAGCUUUGUCCGUGCAAAUGAUCACUCCAACAAAAAUGAGGGGACAUCGAGAGACAUGGAAGAAGAAUUCACUCCAGUGGAUGUUGAUGUUAACCUGGUGAAGAGUCUUCUUGAUUCCUUUUCUUCCCAACAAGGACAAGCUGGUCCUGCGUCCAAUCUGCUUGGGCUCAUGGGUCUGCAGCUCCCACUGGAUGGCAACAAAGGCAAAUGAAACCAUCACAUUUAGACUUCAUUUUUCUGGUGCAAUUGGGGGAAGGUUCAUGAUAUUGACAUUGUUAGAUCACCCGCUUGCAUUAACUUCUGAAUCAACUGGAUCUCUCGGGUAUGCUUUUGUUUGUUCACGAGUACGUAAAUGGCGGCUACAUCUAUUGGGUAUUCCAAUAUAGUUCUAAUUAUGAUUUGGAUUCAUAAAUAUUGAUUGUGCUUUUGCGAUCAAUUCUAGAGAGUGGACUGAUAUAUUGAUAUGGCUACAGAUCAAAGAAGAGACUUCUUCUUUCUCUCCUUAAUUUCAAAACUUAAUUGAGCAGUCUCUUUUCAAAUUUUGGCCAUAGAUGAGAGACGACUCUUACCUGGUAUUAUUCAGACCACUCUCUAGAAUUGAUCGCAAAAGCAC
rnacentral:misc_RNA from 1 species